UUCCAGACUCCUACGGGAGGCAGCAGUAGGGAAUAUUGCACAAUGGGGGAAACCCUGAUGCAGCAACGCCGCGUGAGUGAAGAAGUCAUUCGUGAUGUAAAGCUCUAUCAGCAGGGAAGAAAAUGACGGUACCUGAGUAAGAAGCCCCGGCUAACUACGUGCCAGCAGCCGCGGUAAUACGUAGGGGGCAAGCGUUAUCCGGAUUUACUGGGUGUAAAGGGAGCGUAGACGGCCAGACAAGUCUGAAGUGAAAAUCCAGCGCUUAACGUUGGAAGUGCUUUGGAAACUGCCGGGCUGGAGUGCAGGAGGGGCAGGCGGAAUUCCUAGUGUAGCGGUGAAAUGCGUAGAUAUUAGGAGGGACACCAGCGGCGAAGGCGGCCUGCUGGACUGCAACUGACGUUGAGGCUCGAAGGCGUGGGGAGCAAACAGGAUUAGAUACCCUAGUA
rnacentral:rRNA from 1 species